rnacentral:rRNA from 1 species
UACGUAGGUGGCAAGCGUUAUCCGGAAUUACUGGGCGUAAAGCGCACGCAGGCGGCCACUUAAGUCUGACGUGAAAGCUCCCGGCUUAACUGGGAGAGGUCGUUGGAAACUGGGUGGCUUGAGUGCAGGAGAGGGAAGCGGAAUUCCAUGUGUAGCGGUGAAAUGCGUAGAGAUAUGGAGGAACACCAGUGGCGAAGGCGACUACCUGGACGACAACUGACGCUGAGGCACGAAAGCUAGGGGAGCAAACAGG